rnacentral:rRNA from 1 species
UACGAAGGGGGCUAGCGUUGUUCGGAAUUACUGGGCGUAAAGCGCACGUAGGCGGAUACUUAAGUCAGGGGUGAAAUCCCGGGGCUCAACCCCGGAACUGCCUUUGAUACUGGGUAUCUCGAGUCCGGAAGAGGUGAGUGGAAUUCCGAGUGUAGAGGUGAAAUUCGUAGAUAUUAGGAAGAACACCAGUGGCGAAGGCGGCUCACUGGCCCGGUACUGACGCUGAGGCGCGAAAGCGUGGGGAGCAAACAGG